rnacentral:rRNA from 1 species
AGCGAACGCUGGCGGCAGGCCUAACACAUGCAAGUCGAACGAAGUCUUCGGACUUAGUGGCGGACGGGUGAGUAACACGUGGGAACGUGCCUUUAGGUUCGGAAUAACUCAGGGAAACUUGUGCUAAUACCGAAUGUGCCCUUCGGGGGAAAGAUUUAUCGCCUUUAGAGCGGCCCGCGUCUGAUUAGCCAGUUGGUGAGGUAAAGGCGAACCAAGGCUACGAUCAGUAGCUGGUCUGAGAGGAUGACCAGCCACAUUGGGACUGAGACACGGCCCAAACUCCUACGGGAGGCAGCAGUGGGGAAUCUUGCGCAAUGGGCGAAAGCCUGACGCAGCCAUGCCGCGUGGAUGAUGAAGGUCUUAGGAUUGUGAAAUCCUUUCACCGGUGAAGAUAAUGACUGUAGCCGGAGAAGAAGCCCCGGCUAACUUCGUGCCAGCCGCCGCCGUAAAAC